GAUGAACGCUGGCGGCGUGCUUAACACAUGCAAGUCGAACGGUGAACACGGAGCUUGCUCUGUGGGAUCAGUGGCGAACGGGUGAGUAACACGUGAGCAACCUGCCCCUGACUCUGGGAUAAGCGCUGGAAACGGCGUCUAAUACUGGAUAUGUGACGUGACCGCAUGGUCUGCGUUUGGAAAGAUGUUUCGGUUGGGGAUGGGCUCGCGGCCUAUCAGCUUGUUGGUGAGGUAAUGGCUCACCAAGGCGUCGACGGGUAGCCGGCCUGAGAGGGUGACCGGCCCCACUGGGACUGAGACACGGCCCAGACUCCUACGGGAGGCAGCAGUGGGGAAUAUUGCACAAUGGGCGCAAGCCUGAUGCAGCAACGCCGCGUGAGGGAUGACGGCCUUCGGGUUGUAAACCUCUUUUAGCAGGGAAGAAGCGAAAGUGACGGUACCUGCAGAAAAAGCGCCGGCUAACUACGUG
rnacentral:rRNA from 1 species